UAAUGUGACAGGUGGAGGUCGAGCUGAUAAAAUGGAAGAGUAAAUAUUGAAACGACACUGAGAGUCUCCAUCACUCACCCCGAGACCUUCAGACGACAGACAGGAAGUCCUGCUGCUGCUGCUGAGGACGAUGAUGAUGAUGAUGAUGAUGGUGAUGAUGAAGGUGGGAACAGUGUGACCUUCACACACUCUGUCAGUAUAAAUAGAGACUGUGAGGGCGAGUCUCUUCACUCUGACUUACACCUCCUCUCUCUCUCUGAUGAUGAAGACCGCUCACUCUCUCUGCCUCAUGAUGAUGAUGAUGAUGAUGAUGAUGAUGAUGAUGAAGGCCUCUGCUGCUCCUCUUCCUCCUUCAAUCAGUCAUGGCGACGGUAAUGGUCCAGUGACUGUGAGUCUUCACCUGCAGAACACCACAGAAGAAGAAACGUUAAGCAGAGACGACACAUUAAACGGGACGGUGACAAACAGGACGGUGACAAACGGGUCGGUCACAAACGGGUCGAUCACAAACGGGUCGGUGACAAACGGGUCGGUGACAAACGGGUCGGUCACAAACGGGUCGGUCACAAACGGGACGGUGACAAACGGGUCGGUGACAAACGGGUCGGUCACAAACGGGUCGGUCACAAACGGGUCGAUCACAAACGGGUCGGUGACAAACGGGUCGGUGACAAACGGGUCGGUCACAAACGGGUCGGUCACAAACGGGACGGUGACAAACGGGUCGGUGACAAACGGGUCGGUCACAAACGGGACGGUGACAAACAGGACGGUGACAAACGGGACAGAAACUGCCAGCACGUACUUAUUUCUACUUCCUCAGAGGAACCCUAACAAACUGUAA
rnacentral:lncRNA from 1 species